GAUGAACGCUGGCGGCGUGCCUAAUACAUGCAAGUCGAGCGGACGGACGAGAAGCUUGCUUCUCUGAUGUUAGCGGCGGACGGGUGAGUAGCACGUGGAUAACCUACCUAUAAGACUGGGAUAACUUCGGGAAACCGGAGCUAAUACCGGAUAAUAUUUUGAACCGCAUGGUUCAAAAGUGAGAGACGGUCUUUCUGUCACUUAUAGAUGGAUCCGCGCUGCAUUAGCUAGUUGGUAAGGUAACGGCUUACCAAGGCAACGAUGCAUAGCCGACCUGAGAGGGGGAUAGGCCACACUGGAACUGAGACACGGUCCAGACUCCUACGGGAGGCAGCAGUAGGGAAUCUUCCGCAAUGGGCGAAAGCCUGACGGAGCAACGCCGCGUGAGUGAUGAAGGUCUUCGGAUCGUAAAACUCUGUUAUUAGGGAAGAACAUAUGUGUAAGUAACUGUGCACAUCUUGACGGUACCUAAUAAGAAAGCCACGGCUAACUACGUG
rnacentral:rRNA from 1 species